ACAGCAGCAGCCGCGGUAAUACGAGGGGGGCAAGCGUUGUUCGGAAUUAUUGGGCGUAAAGGGUGCGUAGGCGGUUUGAUAAGUCUUGUGUGAAAUCUAUGGGCUCAACCCAUAGUCUGCACAGGAAACUGUCGGGCUUGAGUAUUGGAGAGGUGAGUGGAAUUUCCGGUGUAGCGGUGAAAUGCGUAGAUAUCGGAAGGAACACCUGUGGCGAAAGCGGCUCACUGGACAAUUACUGACGCUGAGGAACGAAAGCGUGGGGAGCGAACAGGAUUAGAUACCCCUGUAGUCCCUGUCUCUUAUAC
rnacentral:rRNA from 1 species